rnacentral:lncRNA from 1 species
UCUCCAGCUCUACAAGAACUUCUAGUGCUCUGGGCAGCUGCGAGGGGUCAAGAAACCACAUCCCCAAAUCCAGCGGGAUCUCAGAGAGAAAGGCUGAUGGGAAGCUGCCCAGGGCUGACCUGGCACAUGCUGGGAAAACCCCUCGGUGCCAGGGCAGGAGGCAGAGCGUCUGCAGCUCCUCCCUCCCCAACACAGGGGGUAAGGAAUACAGCAGAACGGGAAUCGGGCGCCUUCAUGCUGCUGUUACCGCCCUUGGUUCAUGGCUUCUUUCACUUGGAAACCCCAGGAGCUAAGUUCCUGUUGACGAGGCGGCCCAGCUCCCCAGGCGUGGCUGUGUUCCGGAUAUCCACAUCGUGGGGCGACACAUAAAGCUUUGUGUCAUUCAAGUCAAAGAACUCGACUUCUGUGAGACCCACCCACCACGAGUUGCCCCAGUUGGACAGGAUCUCCAUGGUCACGUAGAUGGCAUCUUUGAUCUCGUCUGCCCUCAUUCUCUGUUUGUCCUUAAAGAAGAGAAAAAUAACACCAAAGGAUUAAGUCAUGACAGGCUUGAAUUCGGCUCUGCCUCUGCCACCACUGCCUUCAAAAAGUUAGUUAACCUUCAGGGUCUCAGUCUCUCCAUCUGUACAAUGAGGAUAAGAAUAGCACCCACUACCUAUGGUUAUUACAAUGAUUAAAUGAAUUCAUACUGUAAAGCAUUCAAAAUAGAGGCCCUGUGUAACUGGCACUCUGUGAGCAUUCUGUUUGAAAGUUUACAAAUAAAUAAAAAUGUCUAAAAAGCAUUGAA